CCAAGUUUCAGCAAACCAGCUGCAAGCUGCAAAUGAAGACAACAACCUUGCCGACCAAUAGAAACAGAAAACGGUAUCUGCUCUCCACCAAAAGAUGUGUUUUGCUUCCAUGAAUGUAAGCAUUUAACUUGAAUUCACCAUUAGUUUUUAAAAGGUCUAUACUUUUGUGAGAAGAGUAAAAUUUGACGCUAAAGACAUGUUUAGGUUGAGGAUCGUUCAAUGCUUUCUUUCCUUUGACGCAAUAGAGAUGAGGCUUUAUUGACGUUGCAAUGACAUGGACUUUCAACUAUCUAAUAUGGUGGUUUUGCUUCUGCAGACCAAGCUUAACCAAGGUAUUAUCACAAUGGAAUUUUUGGUUUAAGUAAAAUUAUGAAAAGCUAUGUAGGAGUGUCUCUAUUGACUAAUUUGAUUCAGUAGACGAAGAUGAACUAUGGUCACAUAACAAUUUAAUUAGAUGUUUUAUGUUUUAUGAAUCUCGGGUCAAACGAUA